AGAACGAACGCUGGCGGCAGGCCUAAAACAUGCAAGUCGAGCGCCCAGCAAUGGGAGCGGCGGACGGGUGAGUAACACGUGGGAACGUACCUUUCGGUUCGGAACAACUCAGGGAAACUUGAGCUAAUGCCGAAUUCGCCCUAACGGGGAAAGAUUUAUCGCCGAAAGAUCGGCCCGCGUAAGAUUAGCUAGUUGGUGAGGUAACGGCCCACCAAGGCUACGAUCUUUAGCUGGUUUGAGAGAACGACCAGCCACACUGGGACUGAGACACGGCCCAGACUCCUACGGGAGGCAGCAGUUGGGAAUCUUGGACAAUGGGGGAAACCCUGAUCCAGCCAUGCCGCGUGAGUGAUGAAGGCCUUCGGGUUGUAAAACUCUUUCGACGGGGACGAUAAUGACGGUACCCGUAGAAGAAGCUCCGGCUAACUUCGUGCCAGCAGCCGC
rnacentral:rRNA from 1 species